rnacentral:rRNA from 1 species
UUCUAUGACGUUAGCGGCGGACGGGUGAGUAACACGUGGGCAACCUGCCUGUAAGACUGGGAUAACUCCGGGAAACCGGAGCUAAUACCGGAUAACAUUUUUUCUUGCAUAAGAGAAAAUUGAAAGAUGGUUUCGGCUAUCACUUACAGAUGGGCCCGCGGUGCAUUAGCUAGUUGGUGAGGUAACGGCUCACCAAGGCAACGAUGCAUAGCCGACCUGAGAGGGUGAUCGGCCACACUGGGACUGAGACACGGCCCAGACUCCUACGGGAGGCAGCAGUAGGGAAUCUUCCGCAAUGGACGAAAGUCUGACGGAGCAACGCCGCGUGAGUGAUGAAGGCUUUCGGGUCGUAAAACUCUGUUGUUAGGGAAGAACAAGUACAAGAGUAACUGCUUGUACCUUGACGGUACCUAACCAGAAAGCCACGGCUAACUACGUGCCAGCAGCCGCGGUAAUACGUAGUGGCAAGCGUUAUCCGGAAUUAUUGGGCGUAAAGCGCGCGCAGGCGGUUUCUUAAGUCUGAUGUGAAAGCCCACGGCUCACCCGUGAGGGUCAUUGGAAACUGGGGAACUUGAGUGC